AUGCUAAUUUUCAACUUCAGAAUAGGGAAAUCCACGGGGGAUAUUUAAAUCCCCCGCGGAUUUCCCUAUUCUGAAGUUGAAAAUUAGCAU
rnacentral:pre_miRNA from 1 species